AAUCUUUAUUUUACUAGAAUGCAGAUGGCGAUAUAGCUCUGGAGAAAUAUUUAUCUUAAGCUAUCUAGCCCUAUGAAUUCAUAUUACUGUCCAAUAAUAACAGAGUGAUUCACUUGCUUUCGUAUCCACUCUGCCCCACCCUGUUCCUCACUGGCUGCUGACAGACUAUCAUUAGAGCUACUACUAUUCCUCAAUGGGAAAUAUUGUGAAGCAGCUGCUUGACAUUUCAGGACACUGUAAAGGAAGCAAACACAUGUGAAGUAUUUAAACACCAGAUUUUACUUUAUCGGAAUGUCUUGGGCAUUUAAAGCCAAUUAAUUAAUUAAGGCAGAGGGCACUGCUAGGCUUUCAAGGAAACCUUGGUGAGUUGCUUCAGUGUAUAUUCUGGGCAGUGUACAAUGCAGCCUGUGGUGAACAGAGUCAAUAUUUUAUGCCAUAAAUGGUUUUCCAAUCAAGCUAGUUGUUUUUCCUAUCUGCUGCCAAGCUUCCAGAUUGUUUUUGAGCUUUAGUCAUCUCGUGGAGAGUAUUUCAGCGGACUCUAUCCUUAUGCCUUGUGGAUGUCCAAAAGGUUUGGGAGCCAAGAGGUCACAUUAUACAGUGGAGUUCCAGCCUUUGGGACAACUUGGUCUUGGUCGUGCAGGAAUAGUAAUUGAUGGCCUUCAGUGUGGGAGGAAACCGAAGAUCUUGGAGAAAACCCACGCAGGUCACGGGUGGAAUGUACAAACUCUGUACAGACAGCACCCGUAGUCGAGAUUGAACAUGGGUCUCUGGUGCUGCAAGCACGUUAAUGCAGCAACUCUACCGCUGUGCCGCCAAUUCUGAAGGUAUAUUGGUUCUACAAUGACUGAACGGAAUAUGAUUUUAGACUGAGUUAAUAUAGAAGUUUUAAUUAAUUCAACAUGGAUCAUUUUCUUCUUCGGCUAUCUGUAUCAUUAGACCUGACACUGUUAAAGAACCUGUGAAAUGUUAUACCUCAUGCAAAACCAGCCACAUGAAUCUGUAUUUAAUUCACACAAACAUACUGUAGGUCGUAAGGUCAUAAGUGAUAGGAGCAGAACUAGGCCAUUUGGCUCAUCGUCUACUCUGCCAUGCAAUCAUAGCUGAUCUAUCUCUGCCCAUACUCCUGCCUUCUCCCCAUAACCCCUGACACCCAUCAAGAAUCUACGGUAUCUAUAUCCGCCUUAAAAAUAUCCAUUGGCUUGGCGUCCACAGCCUUCUGUGGGAAAUAAUUCCACAGAUUCACCACCCUGCACUACUUUGAACAUAUCUGCUCUAUUGCUUCAUAGAUAAGUAAAUGUAUUGCUAAUUUAAUGAAAACUAGUUGAUUAAAAUCAUUGCUAGUGAAUAAAACUUGAAAUUGUAUAACUUAACUCGGUGCUAAUAUUUAAAAUUCCCAUGAUCUUCAUUACUUCAAUUGUAUUUUGUUCAGUGAGAUUUUAAUCAGCUUCAAGUCAAUGUCAUCUAUCCAUUCAUUAACUUUGAAGUAAACAACUCUGAAGUUAUUUUAAAUCUGGGUUAACUUAGCAUUACAAUGCACUUAUCACUUUCGCUCUUUUUGAUCACAAAGUCACAGAAUGUGAAAAAAAUCUCAUCCCCAUUUGCAAUUUCUUUUUGUCAUUCUCUGAUAUUAACUUUGUUUAGACUAGUUUUAGUUAGAAUAAUAUGAUACCUUCUAAUGAAAACAGCUGGCAGCUAUGAUAAACAGUCCUCAUUUAUUGGGAAGAAAAAGCAAUGUAAUUCAGCAAAUUAUGUUUGAAUACUUAUUCUUAUUUAAGGAAUUAAUGAAACAUAACAACUUUGAUGAAAAUAGUCUGUAAGUAUUAAUAAACACCUCCUUUACACUUCUAAAUUAAUAGAAAUAUCCCAUUAUUGGUUUUAUUGGAAAAUUGAAUGAUUCACGACAUUAAAAAUAUAUUUUAUUCAAAAAGAAGCAAUUCCACAGCCAAUAUCCUGCAAAUGUGACAUGAGUUAAUGUAAGUAUAUCUUGACAUUUCUGUGCAUUAAUUAGGGUGUGCAAAAAUGGCGCAAGGUCUCAAUCAGAACAGACCAAGUAUUGCUAAUUUAUGUAGGUGAAAAUAUAUUGGCCAUGAGUUUCAUGUUUCAAUUGAAAAUGUUAAUAGUCAUGAAAAUGGCAAAGCACUCCAAAAUGCUUUGUAUUUUCUCUUUAUACCAUCAUUUAUAGCAGUGUAUGAUGCCAAAUCACACCACUCUAUUUAUGACAUGGAAAGAGGCCUAUUAGCAUUUCAAUUCAUGCCAGGUCCAGCAGAGCAAUCCUAUCAGUUCCAUAAUCCUUCUAAUUCCCCUGUAACAUAUUCUACCACAUGUGCCCAUUAACUCCCUUGGCCAUCAGUCAACACUAAGUCAAUUAUAGUAUACAAUGAACCUGACAGCACACCUGUGGAAUGUGGAAGGAAACAGAAAGAUAGUGUGCACUCCACACUAACAGGAUCCAAGGUCGGAUCAAACCCAGUUACUCGAACUAGGAAGUAACAACUCUAAUUAUGAUGAUGUUGUGCUCUGCCACUAUGCCACUGAAAGGAAGAGAUAUGCAACAGAUAGAAUAAAAUAUUGAUGUACUAUUCUUAGAUGAGCAUGGUUAUUUAAUUAAUUGUACUGUAAUUGCAUAUUUUAUUCAUUAUAUCUGUAUUGUUUAAGAACACAGCAUGUUUUCCAUAUUGAUGCUUAUACAAUAUUCAGUGGCAGGUUUUCAAAAUAAACCUUGAUCAGUUCAUUAAUUUCAUGAACAUUUUUAGCACUCAUGUGUUUUUUUUGUGUGAACAAAUGUAUUCCUUUUAUCUUAGGUCACUGACAAAAGAGAUGAAAAGCAUCAGUCUCUCUGUGGAUAUCUGAAAAACUCUAUCUUUAUCUGGACUCCAUGCUGAGCUGUUCAUAAUAAUUAUUUCCUUUUCCUAGAAGUGAAACCAGCAUAACAUUUACUCAUUUGUUGCACAUUCCAAAACCGGAUCCAAAUCAUUUCAUCAAAGACUUCUGGAAAGUAAUGUGCAAAAUAUGUCCAGGGAAAUAAUAUCUAUCAAAAUUGGUACUUUUUUUUUUUAAGAGUGACCAUGUUAUUGGGCAGGAUUUUUCGAUAAACAACAACAUAAAUAUCACUUCUUCCCUCAAUGAUGCAUACUCAAAGAUAUCCUUCAAUUUAAAUCACACAGACUUGUUAACACACUGACUGUUAUAUUUUAGUUCCCUUCCCUUUCCCACUAUAUGGGCCAACCUUUAGUUCAGGGAACUGAUGCUACAUUUUGUUAAAGUACUUGAACUGCUGGCCAAAAGGUAAAUUUCUCUAAAUUCACUCUGUGCUCAGUCAAGUGUAAACUAAUUUUGGGUAGGUUGGGUUAUCACUUUUCACAAGUUAUCCAAAAAAAGCUGUCUGACAUGAUCAUUGUAAUAAUCUGAAGCUGAACACUCUGUCUAUUACAAGUAUCCAAUAUAUAAGUGUACUUUUAAGGACUAAGUGUUCCACAUUUUAUGUGCUGCAUAUUUCAUUGUGCCAUGCACAACUCUUCACCACCUCUGGCAGCUCCUUCCAUACACCCACCACUCUCUGUGCAAAAACAUGUCUCUCAGAUCUCCUUUACAUUUUCCCCUCUCAUGCUAACCUAUGUCCUCAAGUUUUACACUGUCCUAUCCUGAAAAAAGACUGACCAUCUUCACAGUCUAAACCACAAUAAGAUCAUGCCUCAGUCUCAGUUUCCCCCAGGGAAAACUGUCUCAGUCUAUCCUGGCUCUCCUUAUAACUCAAGCCUUCCAGUCCAACAUUCUUGUGAAUCUUUUCUGUAACCUUUUUGGUUUAAUCUUAACCUUCUUAUAGUAUAGCGACUGGAACUGCACAUAGUAUCUGAAUAGAGACCUUGCCAAAUUCUAUACUCAAUGCCUUAGUUGAAAAAUCAAGCACGUCAUAUGGAUUAUUCACCACUCUAUCUACCUGUGUCAAUACAUUUAGUAAACUAUGUACUUAUACCCUAUAGUUUUGCUUUUCAAUCAUACUCCCCAGGGCCCUACACUGUGUGUGUCCUGCCCUGAUUUUACUUCCUAGAAUGCACUAUUUUACACUUGUCUGAGUUAAAUUCUGACAGCCAUAUCCAUUGUCCACUUUCCUAGUUGAUUUAGACCCUGUUGUAGCAUUAAACAACCUUCUUCACUGUCCUUUUUAACACCAAUUCUGGUAUCAUUUACAAACUUAUUAAUUAUGUUACUCUUCCUAAUGUGAUGAGCACAAAAUAAAAACAGUACUGAUCCUUGCAGGACACCAUUGUCCACAAGCCUCUAAACUGGAAAUCAAAUCUCCAAUUCUAUAACAUUCUACCUCCUACCACCAAACCAAAUUUGUAUCCAAGUUGCUAUCUCACCAUAGUUGGAUGUUAUCCAAAAGUGGAGAAUUUCAUGUUAAUAUAAUUAGUUUGAAAGCUGCUCAAGUGGAAUAUGAGGUGUUGUUCUCACAGUGUUCGUGUGGUCCCACUCUGGCAAUGGCAAAGAGCCAGGCCCGAUAGAUUGGUAUAUGGGGAGGGAAAUGUGAGUUAAAAUGGUUAAUGACCAGGAUAGCAAUUGUUAACAAUAGUAUUCCCCCACAUGCCCCAUCCACCUGUAUCCUUCCCUUUGGCUUUACAUUUCACGUCACUUCUCUCCUUUUC